UGCGGAUGAACAUUAAGCUUGCUUUCAGGU
rnacentral:piRNA from 1 species